CCUACGGGAGGCAGCAGUGAGGAAUAUUGGUCAAUGGCCGUAAGGCUGAACCAGCCAAGCCGCGUGAAGGAAGAAGGACCUCUGGUUUGUAAACUUCUUUUAUAGGGGGGUAAAGGUAUCCACGUAUGGAUAUUUGCAUGUACCCUAUGAAUAAGCGUCGGCUCACUCCGUGCCAGCCGCCGCGGUACUACGGUGGAUGCGAGCGUUAUCCUGAUUUAUUGGGUUUAAAGGGUGCGUAGGUUGUUUUUUAAGUAAGCUGUGAAAGUUUCUGGCUUAACCAUAAAAUUGCCGUUGAAACUGGAAGACUUGAGUGUGUUUGAGGUAGGCGGAAUGCGUGGUGUAGCGGUGAAAUGCAUAGAUAUCACGCAGAACUCCGAUUGCGAAGGCAGCUUACUAAGCCAUAACUGACACUGAAGCACGAAAGCGUGGGGAUCAAACAGGAUUAGAUACCCGAGUAGUC
rnacentral:rRNA from 1 species